GCCAUUUAAGUCACCGCGGAGGAAGAGUAAAAAAAAAGCGUUUGUUUUAUGAUACAGCUGGUACCGGAUGCGCCUCAGAGGUAUCUUUUAACCUUAAAAGACGGGCUGUUUUGCUGCAUAGCUGGAGCCCCAUAGAGGCUAUUACAAACGGGGCCACUCUCUAUUCACCGAGAGAGGGGAGAGCAGCGCUGGUGGAAGAGGCGGGAGGGGGGGAGGGGGGGGGGGGGGGGGUGCUGAGGAGGAGGGCGAGGGAUGAAGGGAGGAAGGAGGGAGUGUGGGAGAGGAGAAACGUGUAAUCACCCAAACAACCAUUUUUACCCAUUUCACCCCCUCUGGAUCUGUGGCGCAAGUGCGCCGCCGGCUUAUGCGCGCCUCCGCUGCGGAUACGCCGACGUGAGGCCGGACCCCGCGGAAGACGCCGAGAGGAUGAAGACGGAAGUGAGGUUCGGCUCGAGACGAGCGCUCCCGCUCGCAACCGCCGGGACCUCGCUCCGUCAAAGCAAGAUCACAUCUCUUGCACAGGCUCAGGCAACUGGUUUCCUCACAGUAAACUCAACUUACCUGGGCUUACAGUGCGGGGUCCUAUGCUACAGUCUCCUGAGGUCAGUACUGGAAUGCAUCGAUGUGGGUGGUUCUCCUCACGUCGGCUGCCAUCAAUGUCAUAUUGAGAGUGUGAGCGCGACAGAGACAGAGACAAUAAUGUCUGAUUUGGACUGGAGGAGGAAAUCAAAGCCAAUCACAGAGCUCCCUCUCCACUUAUUGACUCUUUUUUUGUAAACAUCAAGAUGAGGAUAUUGAUUAUUGAGAGUGUUGACUUCUUCUCACUUGUCCUUGUCAUUUAUUUGUUGUUGUGCUUCACAUGUCAUUUGCCAGAAUUAGGGGAAAUUAUUCAGAUUCUCCAAGUUAAAUGAACUUUUUUUGUGUUGUUUUUUUGCUGUAUAUACAGUCUGUUUAUCUUCAUCUAAACUGGACCAGGUGUGUUUUGUUGGUCAGAUUAUUAAUACGUUACACCAGUGCUUUGACCACAUCCCUGCGCUAGUUGAGAGCUGGUGAUCUCAUCAAAGCGCUCGUUGCAAGGAGGCUGUCGAGGCUCCGAGCGCCGCACGCGUCGCCGCCGAGCCUGGCGAAAUGCAAAUGUCAAGUGACACUCGACAAGUCUGUGAUUAGGGUUUAAUAGAGAAAAAUGUGAGGCGAGGAUAUUAGCCUAACUAAGACACAUCAGCUGGCUCUUCUGGAGGCGCCCCGCCCCAUCUCUUCACAUCACCUUGUUUCAGCAGGGGACUAAUAUGAGCGGGACUGAAAACCAGAAAUGAUCUGAGCUGCACAAGGAGCAAACAGAGCAUGUGAAGGGGUGUUGUGUCCGCUUGUUAGAUGUUUGCACUCAUUUAAAUCAAAUCUACUGUAGCCUUUAAUGCUUCUACAGACCUUAUAGCAGCAAGGUCGUGAUUGGUCAAAUGACACGAGGAGGGAGCGUGCAGAAGAGUCCCACGAGCGCUCCUCCCAGACGAAGGUCAGCACUUAGUGAGCCGCCGCUGUCACCAGCCAAUCGCCCGGCUGCAAAUCUCCUCUGAAAUUUAAAAAAUUUAAUUUGUCACCAUGUUUCUAUCA
rnacentral:lncRNA from 1 species